GUAACCGCAUUUACUUAUAUUUUAAGUCUUAAAUGGCAGUUUUAAAUAUGUAUGGAUUGUUCGAUUUUUUUGAGGAAAAUACUCUAAGUGUCGGACCCUUAAGUUCAGUUAAUUUAACUGGCACUGGAAUGACCACAAAUGAACUGAACCCGAAAGACUGGAAUGUGGAGAAGGAGGUAUUGGUGCGGUGGGGAAAGUACCUUUACCCGGCCAAAAUACUGGACAUUUCAGAAAAUGAGCAAAUGCUCUCAGAUAAAAGAGAGGACCUUAUAAAGGGCUCAGCUGCCAAUGAGGAGUGUGGCAGAGGGAGGCGGAAGAAAAAACCUGUCCAGUAUUCCUCGGAUGAUGAGCAAUGUGAGAUGCCAAAGAGAAAAAAGACUGAAAAGAAAGCUGUGCAUCCAGCGCAAAUUGAAAAACUUCUCCAACAAAGAAAGCAAAGACUCAGUGCUGAAAAAGAACCCAGGAGAGAGCAGCUAACUGUAAGUUAUUCAUCACCCAUGACACAGAUGAAAUACCUAACAGCAACUUUUAUCUACUUUCUUCUUUAUUAAAAGUAUCCCUGGCUAGUG